rnacentral:tRNA from 1 species
GCCCAGGUGGGGAAAUUGGUAGACCCAUCACCUUGAGGUGGUGACGCUCGCAAGGGCAUGCUGGUUCGAGUCCAGUCCUGGGCACCA